AGAGGAGCGACUGAACUCCAAAUACUGCUCAGCAGCCUCCAGCUGACAGGCUAUUUUUUGCCAUGGUUGACUAAAUAUGGUCAGGGAGGGAAGAGCACGAGCAGGGGCCGCUCGCCCGGCAGUGCGUGUUUCGGAUGCUUCGCUGGGUAUAUAAGCACUGGAAAGGUGGACCCGCUUCCUGACCAGCACUUGCCCCCCUCGGUCUCCCCCAUGGGUGCGUGUGUGCGUACCCCUCCCGGCGGCUGACCCCAACCCAGGGCUGACCCUUGGGAAGGAGGGGAAUCUAGAGAGGGGACAGCCCCAUUUCGCACCCAGAGAUUGGCUAUAAGGAGAAGGCUGACGGCUGCAGCAUGAAGCGCAUUAUUACCUUGUGAUUCCAUGACCCUCCUCUAUGCAUCCCUAACUCUCGAAAGCUGAUUCAGCUUUCAGCUAGUGCUCUGGUGAGUCCUCUGCUGCAACAGAAGCUCCUAACUGCAAAGUUCCUCAUCACAGAACUCCAUGAAAAUGCUUCUCAGCCCCCAAGGCAGAGCGGGUGCCUGUGUUCAGCACGGAGGGACGCGGCUGUCACCAUGCCAGGUGUGACGUGGGGCUGCAUCAGAUCGAUGGCACAUCCACGGGAGAGCUCACUAGUGAUGCCAGGUUUAUUUAGUGAAAUCUCAGAGUUCAGGAAGAGAAGGUUAUUCUGGUUAAAGCAGCGACUUGGAGGGGAGGAAGGGGAGGUCUGCACACACACAAAAGGAAAAUGUGUUAACAAACAGCAACCAGAAGGCCAUCAGGUGAGACCUCUGCUAUCAGAGCUGAGAGCAGUAGGGAUGUGGUUUUUAGAUAUCAGUGUCUGAGUGUGGUUGUCUAGACAGAAUAGCGGAUGAUAAAAAGGAAAUACAUGGAAGGCAGACGCUAAAUAUUUAAUUCCUCUAAUUUCGGGGGGAAAGCUGAGUAAAUUAGCAAUGUCACAGGACUGUGCAAAAUACCUCCAGCUUCAAUUCGUGCCCCAAACUCCAGGAAUGCAGCACACCCGAGUGC
rnacentral:lncRNA from 1 species